rnacentral:rRNA from 1 species
GUGAGGAAUUUUCCGCAAUGGGCGAAAGCCUGACGGAGCAAUGCCGCGUGAAGGAUGAAGGCCUAUGGGUUGUAAACUUCUUUUCUUAGAGAAGAAUAUUGACGGUAUCUGAGGAAUAAGCAUCGGCUAACUCUGUGCUAGCAGCCGCGGUAAGACAGAGGAUGAAAGCGUUAUCCGGAAUGAUUGGGCGCACAGCGUCUGUAGGUGGCUUCAAAAGUCUCCUAUCACAGAUCAGGGCUUAACCCUGGGCCGGCAGGUGAAACUCUGAGGCUAGAGUUUGGUAGGGGCAGCGGGAAUUCCCGGUGGAGCGGUGAAAUGCGUAGAGAUCGGGGGGAACACCAAAGGCGAAAGCACUCUGCUGGGCCACAACUGACACUGAGAGACGAAAGCGAGGGGAGCAAAAGGGAUUAGAUACCCGGGUAGUCC